rnacentral:lncRNA from 1 species
CUUUUUGACCCGUAAAUUUAAAAAAAGAUGAGUAGAAUUGGAAUGAUCUUUACUUAGAAGAAAAACCCAAUAUAUAUUCCAUAAAUCCAUGAACCAAAGGCACCUCUUGUAUUGUUUUCAACCAUUAACAGGAGGAGUGUACGAAGCCAAGAAUGUAGGAAGGGUCAGCGCUCAGCAGCCUGAGAGCAGCAGCAGCCCGAAGGGGUCAGGCAAGGCCAGAACGGGUCACAGCUUAACACUGCCAGUCCAGGGUGUGAAGACCAGCCCCAGAAGUGUUCAUCAGAGACAUCUACUAUCAGAGGCUCAAGAAAGCAGCUGCAAAACAACAGAACCAAUCCUGACGCAGAAUGGAACAUCUGCUGAGUUGAUAUCUUCUGUUAAACGAGAAGAAAAGUGGACUGGAGAAGCAGACGACCAGACAGAAGAAACGGCAGGAAUUCAGCACAACAAAGCUGUGAAAGUGAGGAGGUCUUACAAACAGAAACACAGGAAGACCCCUUCGACAAAGGUAAUCCUUCAGAAUCAUAUUCAAUUUCAUAUCUGCAUUGUGGCAUUGCGUCUUUAAACCACCCAGAGUCACAUUCAAUUUUCACUAGCAUCUCACAUUAGCAUAGAGAGUCCUGUAACUGUUUAGGAAUUAACCAAAUUCUUUAAAGAUCCUUUUUUUUCUGGUGACCAGUGAUCUUUCAUUCAUUCAUUCAUCUUCUUGACCGCUUUUCCCUUUCGGGGUCACGGGGUUGCCGGAGCCUAUCCCGGCCACUUGGGCGUAGGCAAGGGAUACCCUGGACUGGUCGCCAGUCUGUCGCAGGGUAGAAUAUCCUCAAUCACACAUCCAUUCACUCUCACACUCACACCUGUGGACAAUUUAGAGUUGCCAAUCAACCUAUGAAGCAUGUUUUUGGACGGUGGGAGGAAGCCGGAAAUCCCGGAGAAAAUCCACGCAUGCACGGGAGAACAUGCAAACUCCACACAGAAAGGUCCCCCAUUGAUGUUGGGGCCUUCUUGCUGUGAGGCAAGAGCGCUAACCACUGCGCCACCGUGCAGCCCAGUGAUCUUUCAGUGAUGGGGAAUGUUAGAAAACUGUCAUGAAGCCACUUCAUCUUCAUCUCUCUGGACUAGUUAAAGGUUACACUUUCUGAAACACUUUAGAAAAACCUCACUGAUAAGUAAUGUGAGUAUACUCUGUACGUGGGAAAAGCGGCUGACAGCUCUGUAACACCUCUGUUACUCAUACUCUGGUGCCAAACCAAGACACUUUAUAGAACAUGAAGGCUAUUCUAAAUAGAGCUGUGACGGUGUGGGAUUUUUGACCCCCCCCCCAAAACAAACAAACCACUAAAUCCCCCAAUUACAAUGCCAUAUUCUUUAUUAACAAAUAACAGUAAGAACUACUACUACCUAUCUAACUAAUAAACUAACUAUAUAGGUGUUGUAGAAUGAGUGUGUAUGUGUGUCUGCGCGCUGCGUGUGUAGGUGGAAGGAGCACACACAUGUGUGUUGGGGGUGCGUGUUGAUUCUUCUGCAGUGGACCGCUCUCUACCUGCAUGCGAGGUUUCACCUGUGUUCUCUGGUACAGACAUCUUCUCAGAAUAUUAGAUAUUAUUACACAGUAAUAAAUAGACUGCAGACACUUUGUCACCUUUCCGUUAGCCAUGAAGCCUGACACCCAUGAAGAACACGGGGCAGGAGGCUCCACCUCUGUUAAUAAAGACAGGUAACUCUGCGCUGCACAAAAUAGUUCCCAAACAAAACAUGUAGUGAUAUUCAUCGCACUCUAACAGUGCGUGUUCACGUUUGGUGUUACUAGUGAAGGAGAACAGUAAUAAAUCCCCCAACACAAAAUCCUCCGCAAUGCAGUAAAUUUGUCAAGUUUAGUCGCAAGACGGAAACUUCUGUUGUAGAAUGAGGAUGUGUAUGUGCUUCUGAAACCACACAAGUGUGUAAGAAGAGGGAGCCGCGUGCAGCGUAGAGGAAGUGAAGGAGAACAGUAAUAAAAGGUGUUCCCCAGAAAUCCUUGAAGUCUGAACACAGGACUAACAAAAAUAGAAAAUUAUCAGGAAAGGUGAAUGUGUUCAAUGUGUUUAUUAUAGUUCCAAUCACGCAACAUAGGCAGAACUUUCCCCCAAAACACAAGCACAAGCAUGAAGAGAACCUGGGAGGAAAGCAGGAUGCUGCAGUGAAAGCUAAGUUACAGCUCUAAAGCAGUAACGCAUUCAAAGGCAAAGCCCAGAUCCACUUUUAUGUCUGCACCACUCAUGUCUGGUAUUCUGCAUGCCGUCAGCACAUUGUAACCUGUUUAACCAUCCAUAUUCUUUGCCUUACUGUUAAUCCAAACACCAAAUGUUUGUCGCCAAUGCUGGAAAUCUCAGACUUGAGGUAUUUUUUCCCAUUAAACACGAUACCUUUGUUACUGCAGUGGCAGUCUGUCUCUUCGUUUUAUUUACUUCAUUCUGACUAAUUGUUUGAUACAAAUCCCCUUUCAUUUGCUGUUAGCUGGAACACAGAAAACCGCUGCAUUUUGCCGCGGUUUAUUGCAGCAGAAGGUUUUCAUCUGAUUCUAUUGUUCAGAGUAGGAUGGGGCUGAUCUGGAUCAGUCAAUCCAGAUCAGUUGGAAAGGAUGAAUUCAACUUUGGUGACACUCUGAGGAUUUUUUUUCCUUUUAGAAAAGCCUCCCCAUUGUUUCCACAUGUUUCCUGUUGUGAUUCAUCUAGAAUAGCAGUAGUGUGGCUGCACAAAUGCAGGAGCAGAUGCCUUGCCAGACCAUCGCAGACACUCAAAAGUGUGAUUCAUCUGCAAAGUUUGGAAAACUUCACAACAGCACCAAAAAUCCUAUAGAUUUUUGUUACUGCAGUGAAUUUGAACUUGCAUUAAUUUCUUUAUUUAAUUAGAGCAAUAAAGCGUCCCACUGAGCAGUCUGUUGGUAGUCUGAGUUAGAGCUCCCAGAACAGACAAAACAAACAACAACAUUUGGUGUUUGAAACAGAUAUCGUAUAGAAAAUACAGUUAUUCUGAUUCAUCCACUUCCAGACAGACAGAUCCAUGUUCGUCUUUGUUUUCCUGGUCUGAGCUGGAAUCUGGAUCUAAACUGGACGGAUGGUUAGCUCUGAUAAUGGUCACCAUUUCUGUUGCACUGCUAAUGUUAGCUGGGGAGUUGUGAGGGUCUGUAAGCUAGCAGGAGAGACUGUAAACAAAGAGCUCUCAGUUAUUAGAAGGGGGUGCCAACAUCCCCCCCCACAACUCAGAAGUGACUUUUCUAAUGCACUCCUGCUGCUCUGCAGAAAGUAUGUCCUAGGAAACGAGUCAGGCUCUUUGGAUUUUGGCUGAAAACAGCCUAAUCAUAAUUAAAGACCACUGAGAACACUUUGAUAAUAGAUUAAAAAUGAUCAGAAUGGGACUUCAAAGGAUACUUUUUCCCUUAUAAUUAAACUUCUGUGUUUUAAUGUUUUUCUAGUUUAGAAAAAUAGACUGCAUUUAGGAAGUAACUUUGUUAUGUCUCCUUAACCUUUGAUUGUUUUUAAAUGUUUGAGAAUAUGACUCGAUCUGUGCCACAUUUUUAAUGUUAAGAAAAAGGUUUAUCCAAAAAAAAAAAACUAACGGACAUUUUAACUUCUAAUGUCAACUGUUUGUGGCUGUAAUGGAAGUGAACGGUGUUAUGCAGUAUGUAGUUCAUAUGUGUAACAUGUUCAUUGCUCUUCCAGAUCACUGAAGUACUGAAGCCGUGCUUCAAGGGACUUCACUGUGCUGUUUGUGAAAAAGAGCUCCUUCCUAAGACACAAGGUUAUUUUUAAGUCAACUCUCACUGUUCAGUGCCUUUGGAACCUUUUUUGUUUUGUUUUUUACUUUGAUAGUUGCACUUUUAGGUAUAGUACGGCAGUCUGCAUGUACAUUCAAACAGCUAGCAGUUCUUCGAAGAGACUGCGGUCCUGCCUUCCUGACUCGUCGCUGCCGGUGUUCACCCCUGCAGCCACCGGGUUCAGGGGACUUUCUGCUUGUGGUUCAAAACCUCUCAGCAAUGAAGAUCCUGAAGACAACCCUGCAGCCUGACAGUGUCAACACUGUCACUGGUAGGCGGAGCCGCGGCUGAUUAGUCAUUGGGUUUAAUGUAAAUUCUAGUGUGGUUAUAGUACCAGAUUUAUUACACUACCGAGUUAACAGAUAACAAAAAAAAAUGUUAAGGAUCAUGAAUCACCCUCAUUAUUGUAUACACUUUUCCCUAUAAAGUUGGUCCAAUUACUUGUUUUCCUAAUUCUUCUUCCUGACAUAGCAUACAAUGCCAUCUGGAACCCUGAAGAAGGCUCUGUGACCAGAUUUCUGCAAUGCAAAGGCUGCUGCUCCCAGAUUCCUGGUCUGCCGGCAGCUUUGAUAGCAGCGGAGAUCCUCUACCCCAGAAACAUGGCUCAGAAUCAGGUUUGUGACUGUAAACUAUUGUGAGAAGAGUGGAGCUCUCCGCGGUCUUCAAAACAGGCCAAAAAAAAUAGGUUUCAGUUUUAAAAUUCUUUUUUAAUAGAUUAACACUCCAGCCUUUAUGAGAAAGCCCCGCCCCCGGCCUUAAGGUGGCGCUGUAACCUGUAAUUAGUAAAUCUGAUAAAGAAAAACGGCUUUUGGAACUAACAGACUCUCCAUGUUAAUUCACUAACAGCAAAUUCAAUCCAAACGACUGUAACCUGUGUUACCUGAGAACGAGGUGUAACAUGUACCUAUUUUUUUUUGACCAAAAACGAUUUAAUUGAUGAGCUUUUCCCUUGAAUGGAACUGAUUUUCUGGGGACAGGUUAAGCUGUGCAUCCAACAGUGCUGCAGUUGCGUCUUUGGGUUGACUGUCAGUGGCAAAUGCUGUUGAGAUCCACCCGAGUUCAUCCUCAGUCAGGAUGACGAUGAAGAAGAGAUGUGGACACACUUAGGUCUAAUGAAAGAGCAAUAACCUAGAGCAGUGUUUUUCAACCAGUGUGCCGCGGCACACUAGUGUGCCGUGGGAGAUGGUCAAGUGUGCCGUGGGAAAUUGCCCUCAUUAACUGAAAAAUUAAACAUUUCCCAGCUCCAGGAAAUCAGCUCUCUUUUCAUCCAAACAGGCCCUGAUAAAACACUGAGGAGUUAGGAAUAUAAAAGAUCGUAAAAUACUUUUUCUUUGCGUUUAUUUUAUUUUAUUAAAGACAUUUUGAUAAGAAUGACGUACCGCGAUUCAGCUGCAACUCCGACUGUAUUUUGGAAAAGUCCCGCCCCUUUAACUU